rnacentral:rRNA from 1 species
GACAGAGGGUGCAAACGUUGUUCGGAAUUACUGGGCGUAAAGCGAGUGUAGGCGGUUUGAUAAGUCGGAUGUGAAAGCCCCGGGCUCAACCCGGGAAGUGCACUCGAUACUGUCAAGCUAGAGUAUCGGAGAGGUUGGUGGAAUUCUCGGUGUAGAGGUGAAAUGCGUAGAUAUCGAGAGGAACACCUGCGGCGAAGGCGGGUUGCUGGGCUGAUACUGACGCUGAGGCGCGAAAGCCAGGGGAGCGAACGGG